rnacentral:rRNA from 1 species
CAUAGCGGUAUCCUGAGUAACGCGGGACACGAGGAAUCCUGCGCGAAUCUGCCGGGACCAUCCGGUAAGGCUAAAUACUCCCGUGAGACCGAUAGCGAACGAGUACUGUGAAGGAAAGGUGAAAAGAACCCCGAGCAGGGGAGUGAAAUAGUUCCUGAAACCAUACGCCUACAAGCGGUCGGAGCAUCGUAAGAUGUGACGGCGUGCCUUUUGCAUAAUGAUCCUACGAGUUACCGUCACUGGCGAGGUUGAGUGUCAUGAGACACGUAGCCGCAGUGAAAGCGAGCCUGAAGAGGGCGCACAGUCAGUGGGGGUAGACGCGAAACCAAGUGAUCUACACUUGGCCAGGAUGAAGUCCCGGUAACACGGGAUGGAGGUCCGCACCAAUAAGCGUUGAAAAGCUUCUGGAUGAGCCGAGUGUAGGAGUGAAAGGCCAAUCAAACUUGGAGAUAGCUCGUACUCCCCGAAAGGCAUUUAGGUGCCGCGUCGGAUGGUCACCGUGAGAGGUAGAGCGACCGAUAGGACAAGAGGGCUUCACCGCCUAUCGAGUCCUGACGAACUCCGAAUGCUCACGGUCUGCAGUCCGGCAGUAAGGGGGCGGGUGCUAAGGUCCGUCCCCGAGAGGAGAAGAAUCCAGACCGCCGUCUAAGGUCCCGGAGUUCUGCCUGAGUUAGUCUAACGAAGUCUGGUCCCUAUGACAGCUAGGAUGUUGGCUUGGAAGCAGCCAUUCAUUCAAAGAGUGCGUAACAGCUCACUAGUCGAGGGUCCGGGCAUGGAUAAUAAUCGGGUAUAAGGCAGACACCGAAGGCGCGGGAUAGCAAUUAUAAAAGUAUCGGUAGGGGAGCAUACUCACAGCGUCGAAUGGUGUACGUAAGUUAUCCUGGAGCGGUGAGUAAAGCAAAUGUAGGAAUAAGUAACGAUAAGGAGGGUUAGAUUCCCUCCCGCUGUAAGACCAAGGUUUCCCGGGCAAUGCCAAUCAGCCCGGGGUCAGUCGGGUCCUAAGUCUAAGCCGAACGGCGAUGGCGAUGGCAGAGACGGUUAAUAUUCCGUCACUGCCGCAUGGGGCGAUGUGGAGACGGAGCAGUGAAACCACCGCGGGGCGACGGAAGUCCCCGUUGAAGGGUGUAGGUGUUGAGGAGAGCAGGCAAAUCCACUCUCCGAGCUGAACCUGACAGUACGGAGUCCUCCUCGGAGGAAUCUGAUAGUGUGGGUAAUCAUACUCCCGAGAAAAUCCGCUAAGCUUAACCCAUGCGGCACCCGUACCGCAAACGGACACACGUGGUCGGGUAGAACAUACUAAGGCGUUGAGAGAUUCAUGGUUAAGGAACUAGGCAAAUUGACCCUGUAACUUCGGGAUAAAGGGUCCUCGUGAUGAGCGAGGCGCAGAGAAUAGGUCCAGGCAACUGUUUAACAAAAACACAGGGCUGUGCAAACUCGAAAGAUGACGUAUACAGCCUGACACCUGCCCGGUGCCGGAAGGUUAAGAGGAGAUGUCACUAGCAAUAGGAAGCAUUGAAUUGAAGCCCCGGUAAACGGCGGCCGUAACUAUAACGGUCCUAAGGUAGCGAAAUUCCUUGUCGGGUAAGUUCCGACCUGCACGAAUGGUGUAAUGAUCCGGACGCUGUCUCAACCAUGAGCUCAGUGAAAUUGUAGUAUCGGUGAAGAUGCCGAUUACCCGCGAUGGGACGAAAAGACCCCGUGAACCUUUACUACAGCUUAGCAUUGACCUUGGUCAUCCGAUGUGUAGGAUAGGCCGGAGGCUUUGAAGCGGGAGCGCCAGCUUUCGUGGAGCCAUCCUUGAAAUACGGCCCUUUGGCUGUCUGAGGUCUAACGCGUGAUUACGCGGACACUGCUUGGUGGGUAGUUUGACUGGGGUGGUCGCCUCCAAAAGCGUAACGGAGGCUUCCAAAGGUGCCCUCGGGUCGAUUGGUAACCGACCUCAAAGAGUGCAAUGGCAUAAGGGCGCUUGACUGGGAGGCAGACAUGCCGAGCAGGCAGGAAACUGGGGCAUAGUGAUCCGGCGGAUGUGUAUGGAAACUCCGUCGCUCAAAGGAUAAAAGGUACUCCGGGGAUAACAGGCUGAUCCCCCCCAAGAGCUCAUAUCGACGGGGUGGUUUGGCACCUCGAUGUCGGCUCGUCACAUCCUGGGGCUGGAGAAGGUCCCA